rnacentral:lncRNA from 1 species
CCUAACAGCUGAUCUACCAUACCUAACAGCUAGCAGCUGAUCUACCGUGCCUAACAGCUGAUCUACCAUCUGCUCCACCAUACCUAACAGCUGCUCUACUGUACCUAACAGCUGAUCUACCAUACCUAACAGCUGCUCUACCAUACCUAACAGCUGCUCUACCAGCUGAUCUAGCAUACCAACCAGCUGCUCUACCAUACCUAACAGCUGCUCUGACAGCUGCUCUACCGUACCUAACAUUUGCUCUAACAGCUGAUCUACCAUACCUAACAGCUGCUCUACCAGCUGAUCUACCAUACCUACUAGCUGCUCUACCAUACCUAACAGCUGCUCUGACAGCUGCUCUACCAGCUGCUCUACCAUACCUAACAGCUGCUCUAACAGCUGCUUUACCGUACCUAACAGCUGCUCUACCGUACCUAACAGCUGCUCUACCCUACCUAACAUUUGCUCUAACAACUGCUCUACCAUACCUAACAGCUGCUCUAACAGCUGCUCUACCAUACCUAACAGCUGCUCUACCAUACCUAAAAGCUGAUCUACCAUACCUAACAGCUGAUCUACCAUACCUAUCAGCUGCUCUACCAUACCUAACAGCUGAUGUACCGUACCUAACAGCUGCUCUACCGUACCUAACAGCUGAUCUACCGUACCUAACAGCUAACAGCUGAUCUACCAUACCUAACAGCUGCUCUAACAGCUGCUCUACUGWACCUAACAGCUGCUCUACCAGCUGCUCUACCAUACCUAACAGCUGCUCUACCAUACCUAACAGCUGAUCUACCGUACCUAACAGCUGCUCUACCAGCUGAUCUAGCAUACCUAACAACUGAUCUAACAGCUGCUCUACCAGCUGCUCUACCAUACCUAACAGCCGAUCUACCGUACCUAACAGCUAACAGCUGAUCUACCAUACCUAACAGCUGCUCUAACAGCUGAUCUACCAUACCUAACAGCUGAUCUACCAUACCUAAUAGCUGCUCUACCAUACCUAACAGUUGCUCUAACAGCUGCUCUACCAUACCUAACAGCUGCUCUACCGUACCUAACAGCUGCUCUACCAUACCUAACAGCUGAUCUACUAUACCUAACAGCUGCUCUACUAUACCUAACAGCUGAUCUACUAUACCUAACAGCUGAUCUACCGUACCUAACAGCUGCUCUACCAUACCUAACAGCUGAUCUACUAUACCUAACAGCUGCUCUACUAUACCUAACAGCUGCUCUACCAUUCCUAACAGCUGAUCUACCAUACCUAACAGCUGCUCUAACAGCUGCUCUACCGUGCCUAACAGCUGAUCUACCAGCUGCUCUACCAUAUCUAACAGCUGCUCUACUGUACCUAACAGCUGAUCUACCAUACCUAACAGCUGCUCCUCCAUACCUAAGAGCUGAUCUACCAUACCUAACAGCUGCUCUACCAUACCUAACAGUUGCUCGGUUAGAGCAGCUGUCUACGGUCUGGUAGAUCAGCUGUAGAU